GGGGAAUGAGUGAACUGUGGUGUGUCCUGGGAGCCCUAAAGAUUAAGAAAAAUAGGUGUCUCCCUUUGAUGCAAAUCGGGGUUACCUGAAGCGCUUGCUCCACUGAUCCACUGGUUGCAAGAGGACUUCAGCUGUAAAGGUUCUCUUCUAAAAGGGAAGACUUGUAGUACAGCUUAAGUGAGGGGAUAUUUUUUGUCAGCAAUUUCCUGGAUCAUCAUCCCUCUUGGCAGCCAAGACUGAGAACCAAGGAUGUGGAUUCUUGGUGGUAAAAAGUGUGUGGAUGAUUGCAUGUGCUUUGUUUUGUUUCUGGCGAUAUUUGAGAAUAGCAUGCAACUCUUUUGUUAGCAUCACAUCUUUUAGGAUCCCUCCCAACAUCCCUUCUUAAUUGCAGGAGAAGUUAGAAGAUGUCAUGUUUUUGUGGGCUUGGGAAAAGGAAAGAUGGCUGAUGAGUUUAUAGUAAGUUUCUGCCAAAUAAAAAUACUAUGAAAAUG